UACGUAGGGGGCAAGCGUUGUCCGGAUUUAUUGGGCGUAAAGCGUGUGUAGGUGGCCAUGUAGGUCCGCUGUGAAAACUUGAGGCUCAACCUCAAGCUGUCGGUGGAAACCCCUUGGCUAGAGUCCGGAAGAGGAGAGUGGAAUUCCUGGUGUAGCGGUGAAAUGCGCAGAUAUCAGGAAGAACACCAAUGGCGAAGGCAGCUCUCUGGGACGGUACUGACACUGAGACGCGAAAGCGUGGGGAGCGAACAGG
rnacentral:rRNA from 1 species